rnacentral:rRNA from 1 species
GACGAACGCUGGCGGCGUGCUUAACGCAUGCAAGUCGAACGGAAAGGCCCUGCUUUUGUGGGGUGCUCGAGUGGCGAACGGGUGAGUAACACGUGAGUAACCUGCCCUUGACUUUGGGACAACUUCAGGAAACUGGGGCUAAUACCGGAUAGGAGCUCCUGCUGCAUGGUGGGGGUUGGAAAGUUUCGGCGGUUGGGGAUGGACUCGCGGCUUAUCAGCUUGUUGGUGGGGUAGUGGCUUACCAAGGCUUUGACGGGUAGCCGGCCUGAGAGGGUGACCGGCCACAUUGGGACUGAGAUACGGCCCAGACUCCUACGGGAGGCAGCAGUGGGGAAUAUUGCACAAUGGGCGGAAGCCUGAUGCAGCAACGCCGCGUGCGGGAUGACGGCCUUCGGGUUGUAAACCGCUUUCGCCUGUGACGAAGCGUGAGUGACGGUAAUGGGUAAAGAAGCACCGGCUAACUACGUG